CUCACCACUCCCACCCUACCUCCUCCUACCCUUCCUACUCCCACCCUGCCAGCCACUGUCACCACUUUACCUGCCUCAGCUGUAGAUCUCAGUAGGAAGAAAAAGGAGAGGAGAAAAAGUAAUGACUGUUCCUAUUGCCACCAGGAAAUUUUUGAUGGGAAUGUCCUUCGUGAAAGACAUAAAAAGGGGCAGAAACAGCUAUUUAUGCAGUGGCAUCCUUGCCCUUUAUGUGGCAAAAGGUGGAGGUCAUCGUGGACCAAUGUGGAGAAUAUUGUGUAAAUAAGGAAGAAGAAAAUAAAUGAUAAUAGUCAUCUUUAUCUUCACCUGGUCUUUAUGUCUUGUCUCUGUUUUGCUCAGCUAAUGACAUGAACUACAUUCUGGAGAGGAAGUUAAAUAAAUAGGCCCAUGUAUAAAAAAA